AUUUAGAGAGAAAUCUAAACAUUUUUUUGUUUCAAUCUUUUUUUUUUUUAAAUAGGUGUUUACUGAAGACAGCAAGGAUUUGCAGCUGUUUGGAGCCUGAGUGGCAGAUGAAACCAACUUGCAGACUUCCGGGGCACAAGUACGAGUUACAGCCCAGAGACGGCUGCAUGAUGCCCAGACAGCACACAGACCGCCUCCACACGUGGAGAGCUGAGAUCUCAGAGGAGACGUGCCAUUGCCUUGGAGCCGGUCAGGCUGCACGGAAGACAAGCAGGAUUCCUGCCUCCUCUAACUCUGCACUACACUGGAAAGCUGGUAAGCCGUGGACAGAGUAGGCCUUCAGUGCGACCUGCAGAGCAGCUAGACCCGGUAAAACAUGGUCUUUCCUCAUGGAACAACAGCCUUGGGGGUUGCCUGGACAAACAUCCCCACAGAUGAGAAAUUAAAGCAGAGUAGAGUGGUCAAGGCCACGCCCUAAAUAAGCAAUCAAGGGGGCUAGAACGCAGGUCCCACACCCUCUGUGUCUGGGCAGCCUAAGGCGACACACACGUAGACAGACUCCAGGCCAUAGCUUCUUCAGGCUAAGAGUUGUCUCGAACCCUGAUGGAGUUGGUGUCUGCUGCCAACAGAUUUGUCUCUGUGCUAGAGGCAGGAGUCUUACAGUUGAGUGAGGGAGCUCCUAAGAAAUUUAGUACAUUCUAAUGAGUAGCUAAUUCCUUCUUGCAACAUGGACUGCUUUGUGUGUAAUGGAAUAUGGUUCUGGAUUUUGGAAAUGAACAGUCCUGUGUAAAUUCAGUGUAAUAGCACUAGUACUUCAAGGGUCCCUUUGGCUCCUGAGCCUUCUCCACUCUGAUUUAGGCCUUUGAUCCCGCACAUGGCCUCUUACUGUUCUUCCCACUACUUCAUCCUCCUAGCACCCACUCCCAGCUGGCCCUGACUUAGGAGAGGCUGGGUAGGCAGUGGUUUGGAGUACGGUCUCUGGAGACAGAGGGCCGGGACUCAAACCAUGGUUCUGCUGCUGCUUUGCUGUGUGACCUUAGGCCUUAACAGCAAUGCUGGAUCCAGUGCCUAAUUUUCUUUUCUUUUUUGAUUUGAGAGAGAGAGAAAGAGAGCACAAAGCUGGGGGAGAGGCACACUCCCCCUGAGCAGGAAGCCCGACGUGGGGCUCAAUCCCAGGACUCCGAGAUCAUGACCUGAGCUGAAGGCAGAUAGAUGCCCACCUGACUGAGCCACCCAGGCACCCCUCUGUUGCCUUAUUUUCAAAUGAGGAUAUAACAGUACAAACCUCACCAGGUUGACAGAAUUAAAUGUGUUGACAAGUACUUAAACAGUGUCUGACCCAUAACAGAUCUUAACUAUUAUCAUCUUGUUCAGUUCUCUGUUCAGAAACCCCAAAUAGUUAUAGAAUUGAGACCAGCGUUUAACCUAAAAUAGACUCCUUGGCCUUUUUUAACAAGUAUUUCCUCAUUUGCUAAACCACGCACUCCAACUCAGUUCCCCAGACCUGCCCUCCUGUCUUGGCUCAUGCUGACCCAGCAUUGCCAUCAGUAGCCGUCACUGCUGCCCCGCCAGGGCAGGCUCUCUGGUCAGACAUGCCGAUGGGCUUUCUUUUUCCUUUAAGCCAUAUCUAAGUAGGCCUCCAGAGUUGUAGAGGAAAGCUAAAGUCAUCAGACAUGAAAAGUAUUCUCCAAACAACUGAGCAUAUAAAAAAUUACUUUCCACUUAGACAUUGUUAAACAAUAAAAAUUCAGCUGAGUAACUUCA
ensembl:lncRNA